rnacentral:sRNA from 3 species
AUGUAUCACGCGUACACGGCGGUCCCUGCGCGCCGUCUGCAGCCACCUGGCGAUCGCUUGCGACGUAGUGCGAGCC